AUUCAAGCCCAAGAGAAGUGAGGCAUGGGAUGCUUUAAUUCAAAGACCUCCUCAGCUGUAAGGUGAACAAAUGAGGGUACAGAAGAGAGAGUUGUUAGAAUCUACAUUGGUACUUUCAAAAAUGUUUCCUUUCUUCCUUCCUAGAUGCUUUCUGCAUUAGCACUGUGCUCCAUUUCUUCAGUCCUAUGCCCUUCCCAAAAUUGGCACUGCAAGACAUGAUACCUUAAAGGCAUCUCCAAAUGAG
ensembl:lncRNA novel transcript